CUCAGAACUCCUAACUUGUCUCCCUGCCUUUAUUGAAUCCCUCAGUGAAAAGAAUGGCUUGAGGUGCCUGUUUCUUCUGAGUGCAAGAGGAGGACCCGAGUUUCACAAGAGAAGAACAAGUUCCAUGACAACAAAUCCAUUUGUUCUGAGCCCUCUGAACCUUGUUUUACAACUGAGAGAAAACCAGCCUAAGUUAAAACAUGGCAGAAUUCUGGCAGAGGGUUUGGACCAACUCUCCAUAGCCAGGCAACUGCACAUCACUACUUCAUCAUUCUGGUCUAACCUGGGCUCAUGCUGUGCACAUGCUGGACUGCCCUCCAGAGGUUCAGUCUAGAGGACUUCUUUAGCAACUUCACUCUCUGCUUAUCUUGUCUAUGGGUUCAACUAUGUUUCUCUACCAUGUUUAUUGUUUCUGCUGUUUCUAAAAACUGUCUUGAGUUUUUGAGAUUGAAUUAUACAUUAAUCAUUAUUGACUGUGUUUUGGGUAGAUAAAAAAAAUUAAAAUCAUGGCAGUUUACAACUUACUGCAGCAGUCAAUUUCUACUUAGUAAGGGAAAAUGAGAAGUAAGGCUGAAGGAUAUAAGG